CCUACGGGUGGCAGCAGUGAGGAAUAUUGGUCAAUGGGCGCGAGCCUGAACCAGCCAAGCAGCGUGAAGGAUGACUGCCCUACGGGUUGUAAACUUCUUUUAUAAGGGAGUAAAGUGAGGCACGUGUGCCUGUAUGAAUGUACUUUAAGAAUAAGCAUCGGCUAACUCCGUGCCAGCAGCCGCGGUAAUACGGAGGAUGCGAGCGUUAUCCGGAUUUAUUGGGUUUAAAGGGAGCGUAGAUGGGUUGUUAAGUCAGUUGUGAAAGUUUGCGGCUCAACCGUGAGAUUGCAUUUGAAACUGGCAGCCUUGAGUACAGGUGAGGUAGGCGGAAUUCGUGGUGUAGCGGUGAAAUGCUUAGAUAUCACGAAGAACUCCGAUUGCGAAGGCAGCUUGCUAGACUGCCACUGACGUUGAGGCUCGAAAGUGUGGGUAUCAAACAGGAUUAGAUACCCCUGUAGUC
rnacentral:rRNA from 1 species